CCAAGUCGAACGGCAGCACGGGGCAACCUGGUGGCGAGUGGCGAACGGGUGAGUAAUACAUCGGAACGUGCCCAAUCGUGGGGGAUAACGUAGCGAAAGUUACGCUAAUACCGCAUACUAUGUACGGAUGAAAGCGGGGGAUCGCAAGACCUUGCGCUGAUUGAGCGGCCGAUAUCAGAUUAGCUAGUUGGUGAGGUAAAGGCUCACCAAGGCGACGAUCUGUAGCGGGUCUGAGAGGAUGAUCCGCCACACUGGAACUGAGACACGGUCCAGACUCCUACGGGAGGCAGCAGUGGGGAAUUUUGGACAAUGGGGGCAACCCUGAUCCAGCCAUGCCGCGUGAGUGAAGAAGGCCUUCGGGUUGUAAAGCUCUUUCGGCCGGGAAGAAAUCGUAUGGGUUAAUACCCUGUGCGGAUGACGGUACCGGCAUAAGAAGCACCGGCUAACUACGUGCCAGCAGCCGCGGUAAUACGUAGGGUGCGAGCGUUAAUCGGAAUUACUGGGCGUAAAGCGUGCGCAGGCGGUUUUGUAAGACAGGCGUGAAAUCCCCGGGCUCAACCUGGGAACUGCGCUUGUGACUGCAAGGCUAGAGUACGGCAGAGGGGGGUGGAAUUCCACGUGUAGCAGUGAAAUGCGUAGAGAUGUGGAGGAACACCAAUGGCGAAGGCAGCCCCCUGGGUCGAUACUGACGCUCAUGCACGAAAGCGUGGGUAGCAAACAGGAUUAGAUACCCUGGUAGUCCACGCCCUAAACGAUGUCAACUAUGUGUUGGAUGGGUAAAACCAUUUAGUACCGGAGCUAACGCGUGAAGUUGACCGCCUGAGGAGUACGGCCGCAAGGGUUAAAACUCAAAGGAAUUGACGGGGACCCGCACAAGCGGUGGAUGAUGUGGAUUAAUUUCGAU
rnacentral:rRNA from 1 species